ACAAGGAGCAAAAAUACCAUGGCGAAGGCCGGAGACAAGAGCGGCGGCAGCGGAAAGAAAGGCCUGAAACGCAAAGCCGCUACUGAAGAAGCUCAGGAGGCUGCAGUCGGUGAGGAUGGGACGACGGAAAGCGGGGUACAACCCCCAAAGACGGCUGCCUUUCCUCCAGGAUUCAGCAUUUCGGAAAUUAAGAACAAACAGCGGCGACACUUAAUGUUCACGCGGUGGAAACAGCAGCAGCGGAAGGAAAAGUUGGCAGCUAAGAAAAAACUUAAAAAAGAGAGAGAGGCUCUUGGUGAUAAGGCUCCACCAAAGCCUGUACCCAAGACUAUUGACAACCAGCGAGUGUAUGAUGAAACCAUAGUAGAUCCUAAUGAUGAAGAGGUUGCUUAUGAUGAAGCUACAGAUGAAUUUGCUUCUUACUUCAACAGACAGACUUCUCCCAAGAUUCUCAUCACUACGUCAGAUAGACCUCAUGGGAGAACAGUACGACUCUGUGAACAGCUCUCUACAGUUAUACCAAAUUCGCAUGUUUAUUACAGAAGAGGACUGGCUCUGAAAAAAAUUAUUCCACAGUGCAUCUCAAGAGAUUUCACAGACCUGAUUGUUAUUAAUGAAGAUCGUAAAAUACCAAAUGGAUUAAUUCUGAGUCACCUGCCCAGCGGCCCAACCGCUCACUUUAAAAUGAGCAGUGUUCGUCUGCGUAAAGAAAUAAAGAGAAGAGGCAAAGACCCAACAGAACACAUACCAGAAGUAAUUUUGAACAAUUUUACAACACGACUGGGUCACUCUAUUGGACGUAUGUUUGCAUCUCUCUUUCCCCAUAAUCCUCAGUUUAUUGGAAGGCAGGUUGCCACAUUCCACAAUCAACGGGAUUAUAUCUUCUUCAGAUUUCACAGAUACAUAUUCAAGAGUGAAAAGAAAGUGGGAAUUCAGGAACUGGGACCACGUUUUACCUUAAAAUUAAGAUCUCUUCAGAAAGGAACCUUUGAUUCUAAAUAUGGAGAAUAUGAAUGGGUGCAUAAGCCCCAGGAAAUGGAUACAAGUAGAAGAAAAUUCCAUUUAUAAAGGACUGAGAGGAUAGUAUUAAACUGCUGAACACGCCUGUCUGGAGUUUAUGAAACAAGACUUUUCAAAAUGGCAGUUACCGAUUUCAUAAACCUUCUUUCAUCUCUGAACAAAGUAUCAAGUGCCAUGAAUUACCACUAUUUAUGUAGCAAAUAAAAAGUGUUUCACAUGUAAACCGAGUGCACCAGAAAGAAGCCAGUCCACGCGGGAUUUAAAAAAUCA